CAUGAUCUUAGCUUGCUAAGGUUGAUGGCGACCGGCGCACGGGUGCGUAACGCGUAUGCAACUUGCCUUACAGAGGGGGAUAACCCGUUGAAAGACGGACUAAAACCGCAUACACUUGUAUUAUUGCAUGAUAUUACAAGGAAAUAUUUAUAGCUGUAAGAUAGGCAUGCGUCCCAUUAGCUGGUUGGUGAGGUAACGGCUCACCAAGGCGACGAUGGGUAGGGGAACUGAGAGGUUUAUCCCCCACACUGGUACUGAGACACGGACCAGACUCCUACGGGAGGCAGCAGUGAGGAAUAUUGGUCAAUGGGCGAGAGCCUGAACCAGCCAAGUCGCGUGAAGGAAGACAGUCCUAAGGAUUGUAAACUUCUUUUAUACGGGAAUAACGGGCGAUACGAGUAUUGCAUUGAAUGUACCGUAAGAAUAAGCAUCGGCUAACUCCGUGCCAGCAGCCGCGGUAAUACGGAGGAUGCGAGCGUUAUCCGGAUUUAUUGGGUUUAAAGGGUGCGUAGGUUGUUCGGUAAGUCAGCGGUGAAACCUGAGCGCUCAACGUUCAGCCUGCCGUUGAAACUGCCGGGCUUGAGUUCAGUGGCGGCAGGCGGAAUUCGUGGUGUAGCGGUGAAAUGCAUAGAUAUCACGAGGACUCCGAUUGCGAAG
rnacentral:rRNA from 1 species